GGACUACAAGGGUAUCUAAUCCCGUUCGCUCCCCUAGCUUUCGCGCCUCAGCGUUAGAAAAGGUCCAGCACGUCGCUUUCGCCACCGGCGUUCCUUCCGAUAUCAACGCAUUUCACCGCUCCACCGGAAGUUCCACAUGCCCCUACCUCCCUCAAGACCGCCAGUAUCAAAGGCAAUUUUCCGGUUGAGCCGAAAGAUUUCACCCCUGACUUGGCAGCCCGCCUACGCGCCCUUUAAGCCCAGUGAUUCCGAACAACGUUUGCACGGUUCGUCUUACCGCGGCGGCUGGCAC
rnacentral:rRNA from 3 species